ensembl:lncRNA
AUGCAGUUUGAACAUUCCGAGCAAGAAAAAGAAUUGAUUAGUUUGGACCGUUCGAGUCUUUGGUUUUUCGAGUCUCUUCGUUCAUCACCUGACCGUCCCAGUAAAUUGACCAAUAUUUCAGUGCUCGGUGUUAACAUGAAGCAUAGCCAUAACAUAAUAAACAUUUUGAAUAAAAUUAAAACUUUUGGAGUGGUACCUUCGUUUGAAGUCUUUACAUGCUGGGACAACUCCAAAGAAGUGCAAGACCCAUCAGAAUUGCAUGUUAGUAUUAAAGGUGGACAUACUUGUAUUUUGAAAAUCGCUCCAAUGGCAGAUGACGAAGAAGAAGAAGUGGUUGUUGCGCCCAAAAUCGAACGCAAACGUGACAAGGAGAGCACAAUGGCGACUAGACGUGGGAGGCCAAUUAAGAUAAAUCCAAAGUAUGGUGCAGCUACAGAUGUCCCUGUGUCUGCUGUUCAGGAAAAUGCAGGAUCCAGUAUGCAGACUGCACAGCAAGUGUGCAGACAAAGUAGGCUUAUAAAUGCACAUCUUUUUAUGUUUAUAAUGUAUCAAAUCUUUAAUAGUUCUAUAUACAGUUUUUUGUAAGUGCAGAGGUUUUGUAAGUGCAGAGAUGCCAUUCUUUUGGAUUCAUCUGGAUAUCGGAUUAACGAUUUUGAAUGAAUUUGAGAUAGUUCUAACAUAGAAUCUGCAACAUUUCUGAUAUAAUUACAUAAACGUACAGUAGGUCAUAGUCUGACACAUUACAUGUCAGCUGUAACAGUUAUGCAUUUUGAUUAACUGUAAAUUCUAACUGCAUUUGAGUUCUUUUGCAUUUAAGAAUGCAACAUUAGUCAUUAAAAUAGUUCAUAAAUCUGUUGUUGUUUAAAAAGAGUUUCAUUUUCACACUGCUCAAGAAAUAUACUGUUUAGUGUUUACUUUUUACUAUUAUCAUUGUUAAAAACAGUUUUUGCUCCUUAACAUUUUAGUGAACACAAUAAUAGAUCUCUUUUUUCAAAUCUUGCCACAAAUGUUUGAAAUGAUUUUAAUUGUAAAAAAAAAAAGUACAGAGUGAAGACAUUUAGAUUAUUUCAAAAUGGUAAUUUGAUAAAUGCUUUAAUUAAUGUAGUGAAAAUAUUUAAUAAAUACAAAUAAAUGCUCACUGAACUUUCUAUUUAUUAAAGAAUCCUGAAAAGUAAAACAUAAAUUCCAGUUUGUCCACAGAAAAUGUAAAGCAGCACGAUUACUUUUAACAUUGAUAAUAAUCUUAAAUGUCUCUUGCGUAUCAAAUCAAAUUGUAAUGAUUCCUUAAAGAUCAUGUGGCACUGGAGUAUUUUUUUUUCCAAGUGAAGUAAAAUUCUGCUUUUUAAUUACACCAAUAAAUUGUAUUAUGUACAAUUAAAAAAACAAAAUUGUAUAAAAUUCUAAUAGUACUUUAUAGUAUUACUGUUAUCACAUUAGAAUGUGAACUUACCAGCCCUUUCUUUACAUUUACAGUCCCUGUGUCUGCUGUUCAGGAAAAUGCAAGAACAGGUAUGCACACUGCACAGCAAGUGUGCAAGUAGGCUACUCUGGUCAAUGCACAUCAUGUUUCAAAAUACUAUAAUAAUUUUAGAUUUGGAUGAGCCGCAUAAAAAAGUGAUACUUUAUACAGCUUUUUGUCAGUUAAAAUUGCAAAUGACCUUGCGUUACAUGUACUUUGAAUAAUACAUUAAAAUAGAGAACUUUUUUUAUUGUAAUUUUUCACAAAAUUAUUGUUUUAAUUUUUUUGAUCAGAUAAAUGCAGCACUGGUGAACAGAAGACAUUUUUCAAAAUCAUAAAUAACUAAUCUUUCCAAAAAUUUGAAAGGUGUUUUAGUAAUAACAAUUCUAUUAAUACUUUGUUAUAUUAUAUGAUUAAAUGAUUAUUUAUAUUUUCACAGAACAUUGUUAUGUACAUUUUAAAGGCACAAUAUGAAUUUUUUUUCGCUAGAGAUCACAUUUUCAAAACAAUAACAGAGGCAAAGCUUGAUGAUGCAAUAACUGAGCAUGAAACUAUGCACGUGCUCAGUCCUUCACUCAGUCUAGUUAAGUAUGUGUAGCAUAUUCAUGCAGAAAUGGCAUCAUUGCUGGGCAACUAUGGCCAGGGAUGAGUCAUUUCUUAAACCCAGAAUAUUUACAAAUCUUUGAGAAUGUUUGAAAUAACACAAGUACACAGCUGUACAAAAUAUAUAAUACUAUGCAAGUGGUUUUUGGAUAUUUUAUUGCAAAAAUGUUACACAUUGUGUCUUUACUCACUUUACUCAUAGUGUCUUAACAGAAAAAAAAAACGCUGCUUGCAGAAGUGCUCAGAGCACUUUUAAUAGUUUUUUUAUUUUUAUUGUGCAAUUUUACAAUGUACAAUAACUCUUUCAUAAAAGUAUUUAUUUAUUCUUUUAUGCCAACAUUUUUAUGAAUGUUUAAAAAUUCUUGUCAUUUUCUUUACUUUUAGAAGUUGCACCCACCAUACAAAUACAAUUCCAAAAUGCAAAGCAAACAAUAGAAGUUCAAAAACAGAAAAUCCUUCACCUGUAGGAUACGGUUAACUCUCUGACAGAGGAGAGAAAUUAUCUUCGUGCAAGACUUGAAGAUGGUAAGUUACCCUCCAGCCAGUCACAUUGUACCCUACAUGAAGCAACUUAAAGGGUUAGUUCACCCAAAAAUGAAAAUUCUGUCAUUAAUGACCCUUAUGUCGUUCUAAACCCGUAAGACCUCUGUUCAUCUUUAGACACAAAUUAAGAUAUUUUGGAUGUAAUCCGAGAACUUCCUGGUCCUCUAUAGACUGUAUAAUCAUCAGUUUAAUCAGUUUAUUGUCAACUAAAAAAAAAAUUAGUCUGGGAGAGCCCAAUGUAUGCAAUCACUUUCAGUGCUGUUGAAUUAUAUUUGUCCAUAAUUUUGUGCUUGUACAGUUUGGAACAUUUGCAGUUUUAUCCAUAUUUUGUUUAAGUUUACUUUGUUCUCAGUUAAUUUAUUAUUGUCUGUCACAGCUUUAAUUCAGAAGGGUCCCUCAGAAGGGGUACCUACACAGACUGCAACUACAAGAAAGAGCAGUACUUCUGAAUCUUCAAAUUUUUCAACUUCCGAGUCCUCUGAUUCUGAGCCCCCAAAACACAAAAAAAGAAAGGUUAAGGAGAAACACAGAGCGAAAAGACAUAAGAAAUCAAAGAAAUUGACUUCUGACUAUUCCAAAAGAGGUAUGUCAUUUUAAUAAUGAUACUUUAUACAAUUUUUCCUUUGCUUAGGAUAAGUAAUUUCAUAGUCACCCAUCUUAUAAAAGUUUGUUUAUUUUAUUUUUUCAGUGCAUACCCCAGAAGAAUCGCUGAAGAGGUACUACAAGGUAUUAAACCUUGUAAAACAGGGCCUGAGUAAGGCAGAGGCCUACAACAGACUAAACGUUGACAGGAACACAAUAGUCAUCCAGGCUCCAAUUGCAGAGUUAGCAGCAGCUAAUCCAGAAUCAUUCCGCAAGCUAAGGCAGAUGUUUAAAAAGGGAGAUAGCAUCCUGAAAUUUGCCGAAAGCUGUCUUUGUCUUUGUAAAGAAAAGGCCAAUGAGGAUGUGAUUAAACAAAUGAAAGAGGCAAAUGACCUGCUUGACAUAAAUAAAAAAUGAACGAUAAGCACACAUUAUAGUUGUUAGGGGGUUGUUCUUGUGUUAGGAAUUUGUUUAAAUCAUUUAAUCCUGACAAUGUUAUAAUGUUCAUAUAUAAAUUUUUAUUAUAAAACGUGUGUUUGCACAUUUUUAUGCAUAUGUUACAUGGGUUCACUGCAAAUUGAACAACAGUGUUUAUGUAGGCAUUUGUUUUAGGUUAAUAGUAAAUUUUAUAAGGGCAUUGAUAUUUGGAAAUGUUUAUUUUCAGGUUUUAUUUUAAUUUAUUUGAUUUUUAUUUGUUGUGCUUUACUCUUGUGCUACUUUUACAGUGCUUGUUUUUUCUUUAAUAAAUCUAGUACUUAUAUAAUGGUUGAUUUGUACUUCUGUUUAACAUUUUAACUCAUCUUUAGUAGUUGUACUAGGCUAAAUAAGAUUCCAAACUUUAGUCUUUAAUACUUAAGGGGAAACUUCUUUAUAAUCUGUAACAUCAAACUCAUUAACUAGUCAUUAACUAACGUGAGUUCAUGAUUUGUUGAGGCAUCUUUAUGUCAUGACUUUACUUGAAGGGGCACAUGAUGGUUAACUCAUUAUUAACUAGUCAUUAACUAGCAUGAGUUCAUGAUUUGUUGAGGCAUCUUUAUGUCAUGACUUUACUUGAAGGGGCACAUGAUGGUUAACUCAUUAUUAACUAGUCAUUAACUAGCAUGAGUUCAUGAUUUGUUGAGGCAUCUUUAUGUCAUGACUUUACUUGAAGGGGCACAUGAUGGUUAACUCAUUAUUAACUAGUCAUUAACUAGCAUGAGUUCAUGAUUCGUUGAGGCAUCUCAACAU